rnacentral:rRNA from 1 species
GUCCAGACUCCUACGGGAGGCAGCAGUGGGGAAUAUUGGACAAUGGGGGAAACCCUGAUGCAGCGACGCCGCGUGAGCGAUGAAGUAUUUCGGUAUGUAAAGCUCUAUCAGCAGGGAAGAAGAUGACGGUACCUGACUAAGAAGCCCCGGCUAACUACGUGCCAGCAGCCGCGGUAAUACGUAGGGGGCAAGCGUUAUCCGGAUUUACUGGGUGUAAAGGGAGCGUAGACGGCGAUGCAAGCCAGAUGUGAAAGCCCGGGGCUCAACCCCGGGACUGCAUUUGGAACUGUGUGGCUGGAGUGUCGGAGAGGCAGGCGGAAUUCCUAGUGUAGCGGUGAAAUGCGUAGAUAUUAGGAGGAACACCAGUGGCGAAGGCGGCCUGCUGGACGAUGACUGACGUUGAGGCUCGAAAGCGUGGGGAGCAAACAGGAUUAGAUACCCCGGUA